rnacentral:lncRNA from 1 species
UUACUCAACCCUGGAGACCAGUGGAGACUCUGGAGCUGUUGGAAUGUCCCUGCUCAGCCCAGAUGGGCAGUAUCUCUUGGCUUCUCCUAGGGCCCCAGCACCCUCAUCUGAUAACAGCUACUGGGCAUUUCAGCCUGGAGAUUUCUGUCUCUUAUUUUAGACAAUUUUUUGGUAUUGCAUAAAUUAAUCGAUCUGCUAAGAAGAAGUGGAAAACUUGAAGACAUUCCUGCCUUCUUUGAAUUGGCCAAGAAGGUGUCUAGCCGGGUGCCUUUGGAACCAGGGUUCAAUUACUGCAGAGGUAUCUACUGCUGGCACAUAGGGCAGCCCAACGAAGCCUUAAAGUUCCUGAACAAGGCACGCAAGGACAGCACUUGGGGCCAGAGCGCCAUCUACCACAUGGUGCAGAUCUGUCUGAAUCCAGACAACGAGGUUGUGGGCGG